CCUACGGGAGGCAGCAGUGAGGAAUAUUGGUCAAUGGGCGCGCGCCUGAACCAGCCAAGUCGCGUGAGGGAAGACGGUCCUAUGGAUUGUAAACCUCUUUUGUCGGGGAGCAAAAGACGCCAUGCGUGGCGUUCCGAGAGUACCCGAAGAAAAAGCAUCGGCUAUAUCCGUGCCAGCAGCCGCGGUAAUACGGGGGAUGCGAGCGUUAUCCGGAUUUAGUGGGUUUAAAGGGUGCGCAGGCGGAAGAUCAAGUCAGCGGUAAAAUUGAGAGGCUCAACCUCUUCGAGCCGUUGAAACUGGUUUUCUUGAGUGAGCGAGAAGUAUGCGGAAUGCGUGGUGUAGCGGUGAAAUGCAUAGAUAUCACGCAGAACUCCGAUUGCGAAGGCAGCAUACCGGCGCUCAACUGACGCUCAUGCACGAAAGUGUGGGUAUCGAACAGGAUUAGAUACCCUUGUAGUC
rnacentral:rRNA from 1 species